rnacentral:lncRNA from 1 species
CAGCAGAAGUGAUGAGGGUCACAUCCUGAUCUUGCCCUCAAAAAAUUGGUAGUAUCAUCGACCCCUUGUGCCCAGUCCCUUUCCCCCUUUCCACUGCUGGAAGGAGAGGAGAAGAACCAGGGUAUCUCCUUAGACACAGAAAUGGAAAGCACGUAUUAAGGAUGUGGAGCUACCCCAGCAGCCCUGACCUGCUGACCUCCAGACUGUGACAUGGAAACAGAUCAACUUCUCUCUUGGCAUUAAGUCUGACACUGGGGACAUCAAAACGGAUAACACAUGGCCCUGGAUCUCAAGGAACCUGCCGCCUGAUGGAAAAUAAAAGAGAG